rnacentral:snoRNA from 1 species
GUUUGUUUUUUUUUUUGUCAACAGCAGUUGAUUUAAUGAGUGUUGAUACCUUGGGUCU